rnacentral:tmRNA from 1 species
GGGGGCGUACCGGUUUCGACCUGGAAGACGCGCCAGAGGCGGCAUGCCGAGGACGAUCCGUUGGCCUCGUUAAUCAUCGGGUCAAAACAAAAAGCUAACGAAGAGUUGGCCCUCGCGGCCUAAGUCCGCGACGUUCGCCGGUGGACACCUGCUACGCCGGAGGAACGCAACAGCAGGCAUGGUUGACGGUGGCGCCUGCGCGCCGGCGGCCGAGAAAUUCCAUGCGGGCUAGGCUGCGCGAAUCUGGUCGGGUGGUAAUUGCGCGGUAGAAAACCUUCAUCCGGCUAAGCAUGUAGUCGCGGCUGGCAAUUCUGUCAGGGACGGGGGUUCAACUCCCCCCGCCUCCACCA